GAUGAACGCUGGCGGCGUGCCUAAUACAUGCAAGUCGAGCGAACGGACGAGAAGCUUGCUUCUCUGAUGUUAGCGGCGGACGGGUGAGUAACACGUGGAUAACCUACCUAUAAGACUGGGAUAACUUCGGGAAACCGGAGCUAAUACCGGAUAAUAUUUUGAACCGCAUGGUUCAAAAGUGAAAGACGGUCUUGCUGUCACUUAUAGAUGGAUCCGCGCUGCAUUAGCUAGUUGGUAAGGUAACGGCUUACCAAGGCAACGAUGCAUAGCCGGCCUGAGAGGGUGAUCGGCCACACUGGAACUGAGACACGGUCCAGACUCCUACGGGAGGCAGCAGUAGGGAAUCUUCCGCAAUGGGCGAAAGCCUGACGGAGCAACGCCGCGUGAGUGAUGAAGGUCUUCGGAUCGUAAACCUCUGUUAUUAGGGAAGAACAUAUGUGUAAGUAACUGUGCACAUCUUGACGGUACCUAAUCAGAAAGCCACGGCUAACUACGUG
rnacentral:rRNA from 1 species